CAAGGCGUAGCUAUAACACAAAGCAUUCAGCUUACACCUGAAAGAUGUCCAACAUUAGGGCCGCCUUGA
rnacentral:tRNA from 1 species